AGACUUUCUUUAUGCCCCAACUUCUUUUAGCAUUCCCCCGAAUCAUAAGUAAGAGUUUCUCUACAAGCAAGAAAGAGGUUUGAUUUCGACUUGACAUCUUAUGGACUUCUUUUUCAAUUUCUUUUAAUUACCCAUCUCUUUCAGGCUCCUCCCAGGCUGAAAGCUAAAGCUUGCUGGGUUUGACAUUUGGCUUUCUGAGUUGCUGCCUACGUACAUUUUCUUACAGAGCAGUGCAGUAGAGAGAGCGCUGGCCCAUUUGAUGAAUUUCAGAUCUAUGUAUUUGAAUUGGGGCUUACUCGAUGCCCUAGCUGAACGAUGGAACUCACGCACCAACACCUUUCUUUUGCCUGGUGGUUAGAUUACUAUAACCCUUUAAGACGUUUCUCAAAUCUGGAAUCUCCC
rnacentral:lncRNA from 1 species